GAUGGACUUGGCUGUGGGGGCGCAGGGGCGUCUUCUGCUGAUCAGAGCCCAGCCUGUGCUGAGACUGGAGGCAACCAUGGAAUUCAGCCCCAAGAAUCUAGCAAGGAGUGUGUUUGCGUGUCAAGAAGAAGUAGUCAAAAACAAGGAUGCUGGGGAGGUCAGAGUCUGCCUCCAUGUCCGCAAGAACACCAAGGACAGGCUGCGAGAAGGUUCAUUCUCCAGUGAGGGAGAACUGGUUUGGGAGGUCGAAGCGAUCAAGUUAAAUAAAUUUUCUGUUGCCAAUGGUC
rnacentral:lncRNA from 1 species